CCACGCUUUUGAUCACUCAAUCCAAGUUUUAUUCUCUCAUCAGCAACUGCAUCAAAAUUUCCAUUGAUUUUCUUCAUCCUUGCUCCAAUCCUGUGCCGAAACCAUAUGUUUGAUGUUGCUGGAAGACAAUCCAAUACAUUGCAACAUAUGUUGUUGCACUUCGGUUCUCUCGAGACUUCGGUUGCAUAAUCAUCUAAUAUGUCAUCGACUUCAUAAGCAAAAGAAAC
rnacentral:lncRNA from 1 species